UGGGUUUGUUGUUGGUGAGGAAAAGAAUGAUUCUAAGCAAAGAAAAGUGAGGCAAAUAGAUGAGACAAAAAUGCGAUGGGUUUUUAGUCUUCGGCAGAGAGAUGCAUAGGCGGAGACUAACACUAUAUUUGGAUGAUGGUUUGAUAUGAUUUUAUAUUUUAUAUAUAUCACCCUAUGUAUUAGGAAGAUUGUUCAUAAAAAAUGGUGGUCUGGG
rnacentral:misc_RNA from 1 species